rfam:Myotis lucifugus cont2.9498, whole genome shotgun sequence.
GGUGAUUAUUGGGUGACACACCCCAGAAUCAGGCUCCUCCUCUCUAGUUCAGGGUGCGUCACCCAAGAACCUCG